AGAGCGUGUGUGCGUUGGACGAGGUGAUAAGGAGGGGUGUGGUGUUGGUCGGAGUUACUGGGCGUAGAGGGUAUGGAGGCGGAUCGUUGAGUCGGUGGGUAAAUCCCGAAGCGCAAACUCGGAACUGCCUUCGGUGCUGGCGAUCUUCGAGUCCGGGAGAGGUGAGUGGAACUCCGAGUGUAGAGGUGAAAGUCGUAGAUAUUCGGAAGAACACCAGUGGCGAAGGCGGCUCACUGGCCCGGUACUGACGCUGAGAUACGAAAGCGUGGGGAGCAAACAGGAUUAGAUACCCGAGUAGUC
rnacentral:rRNA from 1 species